CAACUCCCCCUGACCACCAGCCGCCACGACCUGAAACCAAAAUUGACCGGGAUGAAUGCCUGGCUCCC
ensembl:misc_RNA